GGAUAUCUGAUAUCAGGAUACUUCCAUCCUGGGGAAUAUGAAGCUAUGGAUUGCAAGGCUGCAGAAUUUGGCUUUAACAUUGCAGCAAGUUGGGGAAUACUUGCUUGUACAAAAUCAGAGUCCAGCUGACUUCAUUGGAGUCUGCGUGGGCAGCCACUGAGACACCUUCAAUCCUGGGAUUCAUUCCCAGACAAGAAAAAAAAGGUGAAAAUCCAAGAAUUUUUCCAGUGAGAGAUUGUCCCAUCUUCUUACCUAAAAAAGAGCCUUAGUAAUUGAGCAAUAUUUUUAAAAUAAUGCAAUGAGAAGAUAAUGGCAUCCUUUUGUUUUAUAUCAUCAAGGUGUUGGGCACAUCAGAUACAAAUGACAGUAAUUUGUCCCAGGUGAUUGAAGAGCAGCUUUGCAGUUUCCUUCCCUGAUUCAUGUUUCCAAGACUACCCCUGGAUUUGCCUCUCUGUUUGUGACCAGUUUUCCUCUCAGCUUCCAAAGAAAGGUGCAAACCUAGUUCUCAAACCUGAGCAAACAAGGCACACUCACAGCAGUCAGGAGUUUUGGGAUAAUACCUCCAACUGCAUUGCAGUUUGGUUGCUGAAGAAGUGAUGAAA